rnacentral:rRNA from 1 species
AUUGAACGCUGCCGGAAUGCUUUACACAUGCAAGUCGAGCGGCAGCGCGGGGGCAACCCUGGCGGCGAGCGGCGAACGGGUGAGUAACAUAUCGGAACGUACCCCGUCGUGGGGGAUAACACAGCGAAAGCUGUGCUAAUACCGCAUACGACCUGAGGAUGAAAGCGGGGGAUCGCAAGACCUCGCGCGAAUGGAGCGGCCGAUGUCAGAUUAGGUAGUUGGUGGGGUAAAGGCUCACCAAGCCAACGAUCUGUAGCUGGUCUGAGAGGACGACCAGCCACACUGGAACUGAGACACGGUCCAGACUCCUACGGGAGGCAGCAGCGGGGAAUUUUGGACAAUGGGCGCAAGCCUGAUCCAGCCAUUCCGCGUGCAGGAUGAAGGCCUUCGGGUGUAAACUGCUUUUGUACGGUAACGAAACGCGGAGCUCUAAUACAGUUUGCUAAUGACGGUACCGUAGAAUAAGACACCGGCUAACUACGUGCCAGCAGCCGCGGUAAU